UACGUAGGGAGCAAGCGUUGUUCGGAUUUACUGGGCGUAAAGGGCGCGUAGGCGGUCAGCACAAGUCAGUUGUGAAAUCUCCGGGCUUAACUCGGAAAGGUCAACUGAUACUGUGCGACUAGAGUGCGGAAGGGGCAACUGGAAUUCUUGGUGUAGCGGUGAAAUGCGUAGAUAUCAGGAGGAACACCGGUGGCGAAGGCGGGUCUCUGGGCCGAUACUGACGCUGAGGAGCGAAAGCGUGGGGAGCGAACAGG
rnacentral:rRNA from 1 species